GAUCCCAGGGAGGCAAGAAGCUGGAAUGGUCUAUUGGACUUACAAGUUCAUAUUUAAAGGAUUUAGGGUCUACAUAUUCAUCGGGGGGUUUACAUAUUUAACAAGGGCCAGAACUAUUACAAUUAGGGACUUUACAGGGAUGAGGUAAAGGGGAAAUCCUCAAUUAC